rnacentral:lncRNA from 1 species
GGACCAAUGAUGAGUACCAUGGGGUAUCUGAAACAGGAUUUUUGAUUAAACCCAUAUGCAAUUCUGAGGUCCAUUACAAAGAGACACGUAUUAUUCCUUUUUUGGGAAGUGAGCCUAUGGUACCUUUUCCUUGGACUUUGUGGUUCUUGGGGAUGGAUUGCAUUUUUGUUAUAAAAUCAGCCCAUGAAUUAAAAAUUUAUCAAUGAGUAAAACAUAAAGCAUAAGUCAUGUACUUAUUAUCAGUGACUGUAAUGAAACAUGGAUUAUUAUUAAAACUUAUCUGAGACUCCCAAUAAAUUAAUACCCAAGGCUUCUACCAUUCUGGUAAGGAGCAUAUGGUCAUUUGUAUGCAAGAGUCAGUUUUUGUUCUGUGUUGGUGGUGGGUUGCUGACUAUUUUAUGAAGAAAAUGAAGCAUCUUUAAUCAUAUAAAUAGUUGGUUAAAUAACCACUUAAUUGAGACCAAGCAGAGACCAAUGAUGAGUGUAUUAAUCUAUUUUUUAAUGGAUUUUUAUUAAACAAAUAAUAAAAGAAACACAGUCUAUUCUUCCUGAGGGCAAUAACUCUAGACAGAUGUAAAUAUUCUUCAGUGUUCUUGUCCAGUGCUGUGAGAUCACAGAUACUGAUGUCUUUUGUAUAUGAGAAGGAACUUGCAUUUUUAUGUCUCAGUUUAUAUUUUAGAGUCAGCAAACCAUGGACCAAUUAGGAACAAAUGUUAUGAUAUGAGAAUGCUGAUUCUUGUUUUUUUUUUUCAUGAUAGACAUUCUAAGAAAAACUCUAGGCUCUCUCAUUGUUUUUGGAAUACAUACAUGGUUCUUUCCAAGUAGUUUCUUAGAAAAAUGUUUUUAAAAAGAGGCUUUUAAAAAGAGCCUUUUAAAAUGUUUUUAAAAGAAGGCUUUAUUUUUCUCUAUAGAAUGAAAACCAUGUAGCUGGUCUUAUUAUUCUCUAAUCAUGAAGACCAUUAUUGUUAUUUGUGGACUAAGGAGCAGAAAGACUGAUAGUGGACAUAGGCCAGCUGAUUUAAUAAUUUAAGAAAGAACUGUUAUCCUGAGUAAGGAGCAUAGAGACAAAUAUAAAAUGAACGCACUCUACCUGAUUUAAUUAUAGUCUUCUGGUGAAGAUCUUGCUGUUAUCUCUGUGAAUCAGGAGAGAAGAGAUUGAUAAGGAAUAGACGAGAUUGGAUUUGGUCAUUUCCCCAAGGUGAAGAGCAUGGCGAUUUCUUCUGUGGUAAGGAGCAAUAAUGAAGACCAUGGUUGAUUUAAUCAGUCUCUGCUGAUGAAGAUCUUGGCUGUUACCUUUGUGUGUAAGGAAGCUAAAGACUUAAGUAAAUAACAGUCCAAAAACUUGUCAAUUAGGGUAAAUUUUUCAUUAAUGUUCACUGAAUUAUUUAAAGUUAAGGCAUAUGUAGAUCAAUGAGAUGAAUGUGUUAUGAAACUUAGAUUGUGGUUAGUCCAAUUAAGCACAAUUUUGGUUAAAAAUAAGAUGAAAGACAUUUUAUUCAUUUUUUUAUCUGAUUAAUAAUUCAUCUUAUUUUGUACUGCAUUUAAUUUAAGAUUUAUUCACUAAUAAAAUCUAUGGCUGCACUGUUCAA